rnacentral:rRNA from 1 species
AGGGGCCUGCGUAACAUUAGCUUGUUGGUGAGGGUAAAAAGCUCACCAAGGCUUCGAUGUUUAACUGGUUUGAGAGGAUGACCAGUCACACUGGGACUGAGAUACGGCCCAGACUCCUACGGGAGGCAGCAGUAAGGAAUCUUCCACAAUGGGGCAACCCUGAUGGAGCAAUACCGCGUGCAGGAUGAAGCGUUUCGGCGUGUAAACUGCUUUUAUCACCGAAGAUUAUGACUGUAGGUGAAGAAUAAGGACCGGCUAACUACGUG